rnacentral:piRNA from 1 species
UAAUGUUCAGUUAAAGCAUCUUCAAUGUAA